AGCCUCGUGGCUCAGCUAGUAGGACGUACGCUGCACAAAAGUAUAGGCGGCGUCCAUGCGUGGGUUCGAAUCCCAUCGAAGCUA
rnacentral:tRNA from 1 species